rnacentral:rRNA from 1 species
UACGGAGGGGGCUAGCGUUGUUCGGAAUUACUGGGCGUAAAGCGCACGUAGGCGGCUUUGUAAGUUAGAGGUGAAAGCCUGGAGCUCAACUCCAGAAUUGCCUUUAAGACUGCAUCGCUUGAAUCGCGGAGAGGUGAGUGGAAUUCCGAGUGUAGAGGUGAAAUUCGUAGAUAUUCGCAAGAACACCAGUGGCGAAGGCGGCUCACUGGCCCGGUACUGACGCUGAGGUGCGAAAGCGUGGGGAGCAAACAGG